rnacentral:rRNA from 1 species
AUUGAACGCUGGCGGCAGGCUUAACACAUGCAAGUCGAGCGGGGUGAUGGUGCUUGCACUAUCACUUAGCGGCGGACGGGUGAGUAAUGCUUAGGAAUCUGCCUAUUAGUGGGGGACAACAUCUCGAAAGGGAUGCUAAUACCGCAUACGUCCUACGGGAGAAAGCAGGGGAUCACUUGUGACCUUGCGCUAAUAGAUGAGCCUAAGUCGGUUUAGCUAGUUGGUGGGGUAAAGGCCUACCAAGGCGACGAUCUGUAGCGGGUCUGAGAGGAUGAUCCGCCACACUGGGACUGAGACACGGCCCAGACUCCGACGGGAGGCAGCAGUGGGGAAUAUUGGACAAUGGGGGGAACCCUGAUCCAGCCAUGCCGCGUGUGUGAAGAAGGCCUUAUGGUUGUAAAGCACUUUAAGCGAGGAGGAGGCUCUUUUGGUUAAUACCCAAGAUGAGUGGACGUUACUCGCAGAAUAAGCACCGGCUAACUCUGUGCCAGCAGCCGCCGUAA